rnacentral:rRNA from 1 species
GACGAACGCUGGCGGCGUGCUUAACACAUGCAAGUCGAACGGAAAGGCCCUGCUUUUGUGGGGUGCUCGAGUGGCGAACGGGUGAGUAACACGUGAGUAACCUGCCCUUGACUUUGGGAUAACUUCAGGAAACUGGGGCUAAUACCGGAUAGGAGCUCCUGCUGCAUGGUGGGGGUUGGAAAGUUUCGGCGGUUGGGGAUGGACUCGCGGCUUAUCAGCUUGUUGGUGGGGUAGUGGCUUACCAAGGCUUUGACGGGUAGCCGGCCUGAGAGGGUGACCGGCCACAUUGGGACUGAGAUACGGCCCAGACUCCUACGGGAGGCAGCAGUGGGGAAUAUUGCACAAUGGGCGGAAGCCUGAUGCAGCAACGCCGCGUGCGGGAUGACGGCCUUCGGGUUGUAAACCGCUUUCGCCUGUGACGAAGCGUGAGUGACGGUAAUGGGUAAAGAAGCACCGGCUAACUACGUGCCAGCAGCCGCGGUGAUACGUAGGGUGCGAGCGUUGUCCGGAUUUAUUGGGCGUAAAGGGCUCGUAGGUGGUUGAUCGCGUCGGAAGUGUAAUCUUGGGGCUUAACCCUGAGCGUGCUUUCGAUACGGGUUGACUUGAGGAAGGUAGGGGAGAGUGGAAUUCCUGGUGGAGCGGUGGAAUGCGCAGAUAUCAGGAGGAACACCAGUGGCGAAGGCGGUUCUCUGGGCCUUUCCUGACGCUGAGGAGCGAAAGCGUGGGGAGCGAACAGGCUUAGAUACCCUGGUAGUCCACGCUGUAAACGGUGGGUACUAGGUGUGGGGUCCAUUCCACGGGUUCCGUGCCGUAGCUAACGCUUUAAGUACCCCGCCUGGGGAGUACGGCCGCAAGGCUAGAACUCAAAGGAAUUGACGGGGCCCCGCACAAGCGGCGGAGCAUGCGGAUUAAUUCGAUGCAACGCGUAGAACCUUACCUGGGUUUGACAUGGAUCGGGAGCGCUCAGAGAUGGGUGUGCCUCUUUUGGGGUCGGUUCACAGGUGGUGCAUGGCUGUCGUCAGCUCGUGUCGUGAGAUGUUGGGUUAAGUCCCGCAACGAGCGCAACCCUUGUUCACUGUUGCCAGCACGUUAUGGUGGGGACUCAGUGGAGACCGCCGGGGUCAACUCGGAGGAAGGUGGGGAUGACGUCAAGUCAUCAUGCCCCUUAUGUCCAGGGCUUCACGCAUGCUACAAUGGCUGGUACAGAGAGUGGCGAGCCUGUGAGGGUGAGCGAAUCUCGGAAAGCCGGUCUCAGUUCGGAUUGGGGUCUGCAACUCGACCUCAUGAAGUCGGAGUCGCUAGUAAUCGCAGAUCAGCAACGCUGCGGUGAAUACGUUCCCGGG